rnacentral:rRNA from 1 species
ACGAAGUAGCAAUACUUAGUGGCAGACGGGUGAGUAACAUGUGGGUAUCUGCCCUUUGGCCUGGAAUAACACGAGGAAACUUGUGCUAAUACCGGAUAAGUCUUUACGGAGAAAGCUUUAUGCACCAUUGGAUGAGCCCGCACUUGAUUAGUUUGUUGGUGGGGUAAUGGCCUACCAAGACUGUGAUCAAUAGCUGAUUUGAGAGGAUGAUCAGCCACAUUGGGACUGAGACACGGCCCAAACUCCUACGGGAGGCAGCAGUGGGGAAUCUUGCACAAUGGAGGAAACUCUGAUGCAGCGAUGCCGCGUGAGUGAAGAAGGCCCUUGGGUUGUAAAACUCUUUCGUCGGGGAAGAAAAUGACUGUACCCGAAUAAGAAGGUCCGGCUAACUUCGUGCCAGCAGCCGCGGUAAUACGAAGGGACCUAGCGUAGUUCGGAAUUACUGGGCUUAAAGAGUUCGUAGGUGGUUGAAAAAGUUAGUGGUGAAAUCCCAGAGCUUAACUCUGGAACUGCCAUUAAAACUUUUCAGCUAGAGUAUGAUAGAGGAAAGCAGAAUUUCUAGUGUAGAGGUGAAAUUCGUAGAUACUAGAAAGAAUACCAAUUGCGAAGGCAGCUUUCUGGAUCAUUACUGACACUGAGGAACGAAAGCAUGGGUAGCGAAGAGGAUUAGAUACCCUCGUAGUCCAUGCCGUAAACGAUGUGUGUUAGACGUUGGAAAUUUAUUUUCAGUGUCGCAGCGAAAGCGAUAAACACACCGCCUGGGGAGUACGACCGCAAGGUUAAAACUCAAAUGAAUUGACGGGGACCCGCACAAGUAGUGGAGCAUGUGGUUUAAUUCGAAGAUACGCGCAGAACCUUACCAACACUUGACAUGUUCGUCGCGACUCUAAGAGGUUAGAGUUUUCGGUUCGGCCGGACGAAACACAGGUGCUGCAUGGCUGUCGUCAGCUCGUGUCGUGAGAUGUUGGGUUAAGUCCCGCAACGAGCGCAACCCUCACUUUUAGUUGCCAUCAUUUAGUUGGGCACUCUGAA